rnacentral:rRNA from 1 species
UACGGGGGGGGCAAGCGUUGUUCGGAAUUACUGGGCGUAAAGGGCGUGUAGGCGGCCAACUAAGUCCGACGUGAAAUCCCCAGGCUUAACCUGGGAACUGCAUCGGAUACUGGAUGGCUUGAAUCCGGGAGAGGGAUGCGGAAUUCCAGGUGUAGCGGUGAAAUGCGUAGAUAUCUGGAGGAACACCGGUGGCGAAGGCGGCAUCCUGGACCGGCAUUGACGCUAAAGCGCGAAAGCCAGGGGAGCAAACGGG